GGGCUCGUAGUUCCAACUGGCAGAACACUGCGCUUGCACCGCAGAUGCUCUGGGUUCGAAUCCCAGCGAGUCCA
rnacentral:tRNA from 1 species